rnacentral:misc_RNA from 1 species
GUAUAUGGAAUCUCCAUUCUAUAAACCCACUCUGCGUAUCUUGUAACUGUUGCUUCCAUGGGACUUGGUUCCGCCACACCGGCUUCACGGCUGGUGAGCGCCCAUGGAAGGAGAAACAAAACUCUUCUUUGAAAUGUAGUCAGUCUGAACAAGUUUUUAUAAACGUUAAAACUUUCAACAACGGAUCUCUUGGUUCU